rnacentral:rRNA from 1 species
AGUCACUGACAUUAGAUACCCUGUAGUCCAGGGUGUAAACGCUGCAGACUUGGUGUUGGAGGCCCUUUGGGGCAUUCAGUGCCGGAGAGAAGUUGUUAAGUCUGCUACUUGGAGAGUACGUCCGCAAGGAUGAAACUUAAAGGAAUUGGCGGGGAGCACCACAACGGGUGGAGCCUGCGGUUUAAUUGGACUCAACGCCGGAAAUCUCACCGGAUAGGACAGACAUAUGAUAGUCGGGCUGAAGACUCUACUUGAUGAUCUG